UUUAGAAGGAAUGUAAUCUAUACUAGAUACAAGGCAGAGGUCCUUUACCAAGACAAAAAUCCGACGUGUCCGCUUAUCAGCCAUCCUCCACGUGUCAAUUUUUCAGGCCUCUUCCAAAGAGUCCCUUAGCUACGCGUUUCCAACCCCUUUCGAUUUUUCAAAUUCUUUUUCCACGAUAAUUCGCACUUCCCUCUGGCACUGAAUCUGAAGUUCCUCCCACUUUUGGGUAAUUCUGAAGUUUGUCCCACUUUUGAAUUAGAUUUCAAAUUUCAAAUCCAUCAGCGAUACCUGUGAUUUUUCAUUCUAUAAAUAAACCUGAAUGCCUUCGUAUCAACCACACCCAAUUUAUUACACUGGGUUUACGUUUGAAGAUAAGUCUCUCCUCUCUUCUCUAUCUGCUUCCCUUUUCUUCUUUGAUGCAUGGAUUUUUAUUUCUACAAUUUGAUUUUUACAGAACAGUGCAGGAAACCGCCACAACAACAACCCCAGGAAGCACUGAAGGAAGCUUUGAUUUGUUUGGGAAAAAGAAGAGAGGGAGGCCCAGAAAAUACGACGCAGAUGAUGUACAAGAAGAGUGCAGUGCAACGCCGCCACAACGAUUCAAUCUCGCAGCAAAUGAGUUCUCUUCCAAAGUCGUGGUAAACCUGCUACUGGGUUUGGAAACUAUCACCUCUUUACUUCUUUUGGUGAGUGAUGCGAUUUUUGGUUACUGUUUUGGUUGCUAAGUGUUUUUGACUUACCCCCAAACAAAUAAAAUUGGUUUUUUUGUUUCCUCCUUAAUUUCCUUUCCAGAAUAAAUCAAGGAAUCUCAAGUUUUGUACAAGAUUUUUUGCAGGUGUGCAUCUUGGGUUGUUGGGUAUUAGAAAUUUUCCAUUUUUUGAGGUUGUGGGGUUGGGAUCCAGGAUUAAGCACAAUACUAAUUGCAUUUUCAUUUUCAGCAUUGAUGCCAAUUACUUACAUGUUUUCCCUUUUAGGUUUUUGUUUUGCUCCUCAUAAUGGCUAAGCUGUAAGUUAGGGUUCAUUUCAGUGAAAAAGCUAGGAACUUUACUUUUUGUUGCUAAUAGUGUUAAGGUUCUGCAUUUGUUUGAGUUUUAUGGGUAGGAAAAAAAUUAACUUUCUUAACUUCUAACUUGGAUUUGUAUGGAAAUUAGCUUAAUUGAUUAUGCUAUAAUGUACAUUGAGUAUCUCUCUGUAUUAACAAAGGCAUAUGCAAGUUUUGGCUACAAACACUCUUCUAUCUAUGACUUCAUUGUAGUUGAAUUUUUAUAAGUUUCUUUUAAUUUUCCUUUGUUUUACUAUGGAGCAAUUAUGUUAGAAGAUAUAAUUUUAUUUCUAACUGAUACUGGUUGGUUCACUUUAGGGAUCAUGGAUCUCUGCUAUGUUACAAAAAAUGAUGUGACUGAAUGAAAAGGUGCUAUGGGUGGUUUGUAUUGGUUUUGUUGCUAAUCCAUCUUUGUGAAAGUCAUCUAGAGUUGCUCUAUUAAAUGGUGGAUGACAGCCAUCCAUUAUAUCCAAUGAAUGCGUGUAUUUUAAAUCGCUUUUGGGUUCUUGCUUUUUAUCUAUUCUGUGCAUGGAUUGCCAAUUUGUUACUUAGUUUCAUUCAAAGGUGAUUUUGAUAGAUAUGGAUUUUGUGAAUUAUCUUCACAAAAAUAGUAAAUGGGGUUGAAUGUGUGAGUUGUCAUUCUCGCAAGAUUCAAUUCUUAUCUAGGACUCAAUUUUGCUUAUAGUAUACUUUGAAGAGUUUCUUUAUUUUCAGGACUAAUUGAGACCACUUGCUGAUAAUCAAGUGUGAUCUUCAUCCUACAUAUUUCGGACUGCACAUAAAAUUAAUGGACAAGUUGCCUUCUAACAUGUACAAGUCAUUUCUAAGGCUUGAAGUGGAACUGAUGGAAGUGGCAUGAUAACACAACGUGAAAUCAGAAGUAUAAUAGAUUUGGGGCAGGAAUCAUGUUUGAUAUGUCCCUUCGAUGUGUUUCUAGAAGCUUUUUAAUGGUGUGGGACUGAAUGAACGAUCUUCAGUUUUAUGGACAGAACAAAUGGGAAUGAUAACAAUGUUGCAGUAGGAGGUGCAAAGGAGAUAGAGCAGAAAGCUAGAAACCAAUUCAUGGACAACUAGGGAUUCUGCUGUUUGAUUUCCAACAAUCGAAUAUUGUGAUUUGUGAUGGAAGAAUUGAAAGUGGAGUUGGAGAGAAUAGCAGGUUAUGAAACACAAUGUGGUGAUAUCCAAGAAAAAGUUGAUAACAUGAAGAGUUACUGAGAGACUAUAACAGUGCAGCUUGAUGAUUUCUUUGAUGAAAUAGUAGAAGGAAGGAAGAAGUUUGUGGACAUGUGCUAUCAUAGGUAGAAACAAUAUUUAGAUAUAGAGAAAAGGACAUGUGCUAUAAUAUUGUUUGGAUCUGUUGAUUUUUAUCAUUGAACAUUGUGUCGUGUUUCAUUUACAAGCAAUAUAUUGUGACAUUACCUU